GACCCCGCACAAGCAGCGGAGCGUGUGGUUUAAUUCGAUGCUACACGAAGAACCUUACCAGGGUUUGACAUGCAAGUGGUAGGAAUCCGAAAGGUGACCGACCCUUCGGGGAGCUUGCACAGGUGCUGCAUGGCUGUCGUCAGCUCGUGUCGUGAGAUGUUCGGUUAAGUCCGCUAACGAGCGCAACCCUCGUCGUGUGUUAUACGUGUCACACGAUACUGCCGGUAUCAAGCCGGAGGAAGGUGGGGAUGAUGUCAAGUCAGCAUGGCCUUUAUAUCCUGGGCUACACACACGCUACAAUGGCAGAUACAAUAGGUUGCGAAACCGCGAGGUGGAGCCAAUCCUCAAAGUCUGUCUCAGUUCAGAUUGUAGGCUGCAACUCGCCUGCAUGAAGUCGGAGUUGCUAGUAAACGCAGGUCAGCUAUACUGCGUUGAAUACGUUCCCGGGGUUU
rnacentral:rRNA from 1 species